GUCGAGAAUCAUUCACAAUGGGGGAAACCCUGAUGGUGUGACGCCGCGUGGAGGAUGAAGGUCUUCGGAUUGUAAGCUCCUGUCAUGUGGGAGUAAAGCCGGGUGUAAAAUGCAUGCCGGUCUGAGAGUACCGCAAGAGGAAGGGACGGCUAACUCUGUGCCAGCAGCCGCGGUAAUACAGAGGUCCCAAGCGUUGUUCGGAAUCACUGGGCGUAAAGGGUGCGUAGGCGGCGCGGAAAGUCAGGGGUGAAAUCCCGGAGCUCAACUCCGGAACUGCAUUUGAUACUCCCGCGCUUGAGAACUGGAGGGGAGACCGGAAUUCACGGUGGAGCAGUGAAAUGCGUGGAUAUCGUGAGGAACACUAGUGGCGAAGGCGGGUCUCUGGACAGUAUCUGACGCUGAGGCACGAAGGCCAGGGGAGCGAACGGGAUUAGAAACCCCAGUAGUCC
rnacentral:rRNA from 1 species